GAUCUCGUGGCUCAAUGGCAGAGCAUCUGUCUUCGGAACAGAAGGUUGGGGGUUCGAUUCCCCCCGGGGUUA